GUGUGUGACAGAGAGCAGCAGUCACUGGGACUCAGUGUGUACUUUACCUCAGUGCUCCUCCCUCUGUCCUGCAGCCAUGAAGCUUCUACCAGCCCUGCUCACCCUCACAGCACUGACUCUCUCAGGUGUGGAGGCUCAGAUUGUACUGACUGAGUCUGAAGCAGUGGUGAAGAAACCAGGAGAAUCACACAAACUGACAUGUACAGUUUCUGGGCUCUCAGUCAGUAGCAAUGAUAUGAACUGGAUCAGACAGGCUCCUGGGAAGAGACUGGAGUGGAUCGCUGGCAUUGACCAUGAUGAUGACAGCACUUACUACUCCCAGUCUGUUCAGGGCAGAUUCACCAUCUCCAGAGACAACGGCAGGAACCAGCUGUAUUUACAGAUGAACAGCCUGAAAGCUGAAGACACGGCUGUGUACUACUGUGCCAGAGAGUCACAGUACCAACCCUUGUUCCUGAGUCUCCCGUCCUGCCCGCCCUGCCUGCCCCUGGGCGUUGAGUCUCCCCUUCCUCUUCUCUCGGUGUCCCGCGCCUGCGUGUAG